AACGCUAGCUACAGGCUUAACACAUGCAAGUCGAGGGGCAGCAUGAACUUAGCCUGCUAAGUUUGAUGGCGACCGGCGCACGGGUGAGUAACACGUAUCCAACCUGCCGAUGACUCGGGGAUAGCCUUUCGAAAGAAAGAUUAAUACCCGAUGGCAUAGUUCUUCCGCAUGGUAGAACUAUUAAAGAAUUUCGGUCAUCGAUGGGGAUGCGUUCCAUUAGGUUGUUGGCGGGGUAACGGCCCACCAAGCCUUCGAUGGAUAGGGGUUCUGAGAGGAAGGUCCCCCACAUUGGAACUGAGACACGGUCCAAACUCCUACGGGAGGCAGCAGUGAGGAAUAUUGGUCAAUGGACGAGAGUCUGAACCAGCCAAGUAGCGUGAAGGAUGACUGCCCUAUGGGUUGUAAACUUCUUUUAUACGGGAAUAAAGUGAGGCACGUGUGCCUUUUUGUAUGUACCGUAUGAAUAAGGAUCGGCUAACUCCGUGCCAGCAGCCGCGGUAAUACGGAGGAUCCGAGCGUUAUCCGGAUUUAUUGGGUUUAAAGGGAGCGUAGAUGGAUGUUUAAGUCAGUUGUGAAAGUUUGCGGCUCAACCGUAAAAUUGCAGUUGAUACUGGAUAUCUUGAGUGCAGUUGAGGCAGGCGGAAUUCGUGGUGUAGCGGUGAAAUGCUUAGAUAUCACGAAGAACUCCGAUUG
rnacentral:rRNA from 1 species